rnacentral:tRNA from 1 species
AAGAACACUGCGUUGGCCAAUUGCUCAUUUCACACUGCAUGUCGUUGUGUAUGUCU